UUUUUAUAUUUUUAGUGGAGGAGGGGUUUUUCUACGUUGGCCAGGCUGGUCUCAGGUGUUCCUCAGGUGUUCCUUCCGCCUUUGGGAUUACAGACCCUGCAUGUGAUGGAUCAGCUGACGCCAUCCAGUUCGGUAAACUGGUUCAUCUGAUCUUGUGCCCUGCACCCAGGAACUGACUCAGCACAAGAAGACAGCUUUGACUCCUUCUGAUUUCAUCCCUAACCAAUCAGCACUCCUAGCUCACUGGCUUCCUCCGACCCACCAAAUUGUCCUUAAAAACUCUGCUCUCCAAAUGCUGGGGGAGACUGAUUUUCGUAAUAAUAAAACUCUGGUCUCCCACA